GAGUUUGAUCCUGGCUCAGAUUGAACGCUGGCGGCAUGCCUAACACAUGCAAGUCGAACGGUAGCAGGCCUUCGGGUGCCGACGAGUGGCGGACGGGUGAGUAAUGCGUAGGAAUCUGUCUUUUAGUGGGGGACAACCCAGGGAAACUUGGGCUAAUACCGCAUGAGCCCUGAGGGGGAAAGCGGGGGAUCUUCGGACCUCGCGCUAAGGGGGGAGCCUACGUCUGAUUAGCUAGUUGGUAGGGUAAAGGCCUACCAAGGCGACGAUCAGUAGCUGGUCUGAGAGGACGACCAGCCACACUGGGACUGAGACGCGGCCCAGACUCCUACGGGAGGCAGCAGUGGGGAAUUUUUCGCAAUGGGGGCAACCCUGACGAAGCAAUGCCGCGUGGAUGAAGAAGGCCUUCGGGUUGUAAAGUCCUUUCGUGGGGGACGAAAAGGUGGUUCCUAAUACGAGCUGCUGUUGACGUGAACCCAAAAAGAAGCACCGGCUAACUCCGUGCCAGCAGCCGCGGUAAUACGGGGGGUGCAAGCGUUAAUCGGAAUCACUGGGCGUAAAGGGUGCGUAGGCGGUACGUUAGGUCUGUCGUGAAAUCCCCGGGCUCAACCUGGGAAUGGCGGUAGAAACCGGCGCACUAGAGUAUGGGAGAGGGUGGUGGAAUUCCAGGUGUAGCGGUGAAAUGCGUAGAGAUCUGGAGGAACAUCAGUGGCGAAGGCGGCCGCCUGGCCCAAUACUGACG
rnacentral:rRNA from 1 species